CGUUAAAAGAAAAGAAAGAAGAAAAUAAAAAUAAAAGAAAGCUAGCUUCACCUCCACCCAAAUUUGGAAACAUCUAUUCAUGCAUUUUACAGAUAUAUGUGUGACAUACACUAUGUAGGAGAAAAACUUCAAGUUGUGAAAGAGAAAACCAGUGCAAUGGCUGCCUGCAUGGAGAUUACAGUGCAAUGAGGAAAAUAGAUGUGAAUAAAUGAAUGCAAUUGUCAUCGAGAGGAAACCCAAGUAGCUACUGUAAUGUAGAAGCCAUGGACUUCAACAAGUCUUCGAAAUGGAGUGAGUGAGAAGGAAAAAUUCUUGGGGGAAAAAAAAGCUGGAAUUAACUGAAGAAGUGGAAAUAACAUUUCAAGAAAAAGAAAUGAUAAAGUAAAAUGACUGAGGUAGGAAAUUGAAAAAUCCAUUUGAGAAAUAAAAGAAGCCAAGCAUUGGAUGGAUCUUAAAUGACAAGUGAGAAAAAGGCACAAAACAAGUCUGAAGAGAAAUACAUGAAGAAACUAAGUGAUUAAGCACCAAGUCAACUGCACAAGAUGUUAUAAUAAUAUGUUCGGCUUAACUUGGAACCAUUGCAGUACUACCUCAGUCAACUUUCUUUACUAUAAUUGAAAGUGAAUGAUUACCAGCUUUUUAGUUAAUAUCAAAAAAGAUUCAUUCCAAUCUAGAAGACUGCCUGCAAGCAAUGCGAACACAUGUGUCUAGUUUCUUUGCAGGGUCUCCCAGUUUCCCCUGUCUUUUUUCUUUCUCCUGGUGGAAAAUCACAGAAUGCUUUGACAGCU
rnacentral:lncRNA from 1 species